rnacentral:rRNA from 1 species
GAUGAACGCUGGCGGCGUGCCUAAUACAUGCCAGUCGAGCGAACGGACGCGUCGCUUGCUUUUCUGAUGUUAGCGGCGGACAGGUGAGUAACAAGUGGCUAACCUACCUAUAAGACUGGGAAAACUUCGGGAAAAAGGAGCGAAUACCGGCUGAUAUUUUGAACCGCAUGGUUCAAAAGUGAAAGGCGGUCUUGCUGUCACGUAUAGAUGGAUCCGCGCUGCAUUAGCUAGUUGGUACGGUAACGGCUUACCAAGGCAACUAUGGAUAGCCGACCGGAGCGAGGGAUCGGCCACACGGGAGCGUAGACACGCACCAUACGCCUGCGGGAGGCAGCAGUAGGGAAUCUGCCGCAAUGGUCGAAAGCCUUGCGGAGCAACGGCGCGUGAGUGAUGAAGGUCUUCGGAUCGUAAAGCCCGGUUAUUAGGUAUGAACAUAUGUGUACGUAGCUGUGCACAUCUUGACGGUACCUAAUCAGAAAGCCACGGCUAACUACGUG